UACGGAGGGGGCUAGCGUUGUUCGGAAUUACUGGGCGUAAAGCGCACGUAGGUGGCUUUGUAAGUUAGAGGUGAAAGCCCGGGGCUCAACUCCGGAAUUGCCUUUAAGACUGCAUCGCUAGAACGUCGGAGAGGUAAGUGGAAUUCCGAGUGUAGAGGUGAAAUUCGUAGAUAUUCGGAAGAACACCAGUGGCGAAGGCGACUUACUGGACACAUAUUGACGCUGAGGUGCGAAAGCGUGGGGAGCAAACAGG
rnacentral:rRNA from 1 species